rnacentral:ncRNA from 1 species
CAAUCCGGCCCGACGCGUGAUCAAAGCUCUUCCAUGACCGGGGACAAAUACCGAACCGACCAACCCCAGCCACCUCCCCACCGCGUCCAUCGCCCGGAAGAGUGACAUUGCCCAACUCAGUUGGAUUUCCGCCCAGUUCGCUGGCAUAUGCUCGCUGCGAUCACACCGCAGACAUGCGACGGCCCCCGGCCGGGACUGGCAUCCCGAUCGAGGGCCUGACCACCGAGGAAGGUCACAACUUCCCG